GCCCUGGUAGCUCAACUGGCAGAGCACCCGCCUUGUAAGCGGGAGGUUACCGGUUCGAUUCCGGUCCGGGGCUCCA
rnacentral:tRNA from 1 species